ACCUUCAUCGGUUGCUAAAAAAAAGAAGCCCUCCUCCCGUAUCCCUAACCUUGUGACGCCUACCAUCGGCCGCCACUUCCCAUGGAUCGCGCCGGCUUCCCAUGGAUCAUGCCGCCGCUCUGCUCACCAGCGUAGUCGUCACUGCCUAUCCCAGCCAUCGUCACUGCCCACCGCAUCCAGCCGCUGUCGCAUCUCACCGCCUCCACCGCCCCCAUGAAUCACCGCCUCCUCUCUCUUGGACCAGCAUGCUGCGGUGGAUGCUUCCGGUCCCGUUGUGGUGACACGGCUGGUCAAGGGAACGCGGUGAGGCGGAUUGUGUCCCGUUCGUUGAUCUGCCCCACUUGCUGCUGCUCCUCUCCCAUCGACCGUCACAUCAACAUUUACUGCGACACACGACGUUCUCCUCUUCUGCGGCGAUGCUUAUAAGCGACAAUAACGGUGUCCUAUUGUGGCCCAACACUCAUCGGACCGCUGAGGCACGGAAGUGCCCGGAGAAGAUCGCUCUCCGCUUAGCAAAUUCCACCGUGUUCUGAAUGGCUGCCCGACAAGACGCUCUGCCAGAUGUUCAUCAUCAGCGCCAGUCAUGGGUUCAGGCUCCUGUGGAAUUCAUGGCAUCAACCAUAUGAACCUGCAUGUAUUUGAUAGCUUGCUUGAUCAGUUUUAUGCCUUCCACUACAGCUAUGGCUACUACGCAACUUCAUUGAGAUUUUUUCUAUAGGACUUGGAUUAAUAAUCCCCAACAAUACGGUCACGCUUCUUAUAAUUACUUUCAGACGCUGUGCCGGAUGUUCAUCAUCGGCGCCAGUCAUUGGUUCAGGCUCCUGUGGAACUCAUAGCAUCGACCAUAUGAACCUUCAUGUAUUUGAUAGUUUGCUCGAUCAGUUUUAUGCCUUCCACUACAGCUAAGGCUGCUACGCAGCUUCAUUGAGAUUUUUUCUGUAGGACUUGGAUUAAUAAUCUUCAACAAUACGGUCAUGCUUCUUAUAAUUACUUUCAGGUAUAAAUACAUUUGUGAUUUUCUGUAUCUUGUACUACUAAACUGUGUGCUAUACCAAGCAUGACAUCUGCGCCUUUUCAGAUAUGCAUGGAUUUUUCAAGAGAAUUUAUUUAAUAUGUAGUAUAUAGCUAGAAAGCUACCUAAAUGUUAGCUUAUAUUGCCAACCCUUGAAAAUAUACGGACCUUUUACUUUUUUUGCCGUGAACCUAGGGAGCUUGGGACGGAGUAGGUGUCAAUAGUUAGUAUAUACCAGAACAUUUUUUUAUGAUUGCUAGAACAAUAUUUCUGCGAUAUUGUAUAUACUAACAUAGUGACUGUGGAGUACUAAUUCAAAGUAUAUACUAUUGUACUGUAUUUUGUCUAUAUACCAUCUAUAUCAAAGUAGUACGUACACUGCUCUUUGUGCACGGCAGUAUGUAGCAUACAAAAUUAAAUCAAAUGGGUAUAUAACAUACACUUUGAUAAAGUGAGUAUAUACUUUUUUUCUGGUGCAGUAUAUACAACAUUUUUGUAAGGCAAUAUAUAGUACUUUUUAAGUGAACCAGUAUACUACUUUUUUUAUUCAGUAUAUACAUAAUCUUUUAGUCGAUAUAUACUACUCUUUUUGAGUAGGUAUAUACUACUAUUCUUGAUAUAUAAGGCAACCUGUAAAUUCCACGCCGCGGCCAUUGUCGACUAGAUGGUGGUACCGUCGCAUGGAUCUACCAGUGCAUGCCAUGCCAACAUUGUUUCUUAUUACCACCAUUGUUGACGAUAUUGGUGGUGCCGUCACAUGGAUCAAUCAGUGCACCCCAUGCUGUCGCUUUGUCGACGAGAUGGAAAUGCCGUCUUAUCCAUCAAUCAGUGCACCUACUUAUUAACGUCGCAUCGGCUUUGCACCUCGAUCCAGAUUACUUUCAUGCAAAGCCUGUCAUGUUUGCCUUUUGUGCAGGAAUAGGCAAGCACAACAGAAGACCUGAUCAUAGACACUCAUAGUCUGAGGUAAAUACUCCUUCGACGCAAGCUGUCACAUUGUUUUCUUUUAUCUUGAAAAUUGUAAAUUUAUUUAAAAAAUUGUGGUAACAAAUUUAUUAAGUUAUUACAUGGGAGAGACCAUCAACUAAUAAUAAUAUAAAACAAGGGUAGGCUAGGAAAAAGAUACAUCAUUCUUAGAAAAUUGUGCUAACAAAGUUGUUAAGUUAUUACGUGGGAGAGACUCAACUAAUAAUAUAAAAACAAGGGUAGGCAGUAUUAUCGGAAAGAUUGGACGCUACUUCUUCCCCCAGGCCCGAAAGAGAUCACGCUUCUCCACCGUCUCUUCCUCUCCUGGUUAGAAAACAACCUCAAGCAAUUUUCCUUAUUUGAAACUUUUUCGGCUGUGCUAAAGGAGCUUAUACUAAAAACUGUUUUCCUCAUCUGCACCGGGUUCAUUUUCUUACAAUAUUUUGUUAUAUGUUUUUCCUUGCAGGUUUAUCUUGAAUACACAAUAACUUUGGAUUUGAGAUCACUUUGUUUUGUAUCAUGUGCUUGGAUAGUGUUGUGCUCUCCAGGGAUGCAAUCCCGGCUCUUCUCACAUAGAACCUAUGGAUACCUCAUGGAGAUUUGUUGGAGCAUAAUCUUCUAAUGUACAACCUAUGUAUACAUAUGGACAUCGGAGGGAGCAUAAUUAUGAUCAUCAAGCGAGCUUAUAAAAACCUGCUGUCUAAACAGACUACAGCGGCAUGAAGGAGGCUAAUGUCAGUUGUCAACGUCGUCGCUGGUCAAGUUACUAAUCAGUUUUUGUAUCGACAAAACAUGUCCAGGACCCUCUAUGGGAGAGUUAACAUCUUCAAUGGCCAUCCCAAUCUCCAGUUACGGCUGAUGUUGUUGCUUGAUAUGCUGGUCCGCCACAAUCUCCUCUUCAAGGAAGUUCCUUGCCAAGCUGCCAUGUCCUGGCAGUUGUAGGUUAGAGAAUUGACUUCUCAUGAAUUUUCUUCUAACCCUUUUUUCAGUCAGCAGAUAGUGCAGAUAGUUAGGCGGUGAAACACGUGACAAUGAAGAUCUUUGUCAACUACUAAAACAUUGAUGGUUUCUGUUAUACUGUAUAUCUGAAUAAACAAUUUUGCGGGCAUUUUUUUUGCAAAAGUAAAGGCAUGUGAGAACUGCUAAUGCUUGAGUGUCGUGGCUGCUGCACUUCUGAUUUUCUGUCAAUUGUGUGUGAGAACUACUAAAUUGUAGAUUAAAUAUAUGGCAGAAAAUUAGGUGGAGGGAGUAGUUUUUUUGUUUAUGUUUUUUAAUGGUUGUUGGUUCGGACAGCUACUACAACUUUAUUAUAAAGGAUAAUCUAGCAGAAAAGUUAAUGGAAGAUGGUGGUGCCAUUACUCCAAA